GCCUUCGGGUUGUAAAGCCCUGUUCGUGGGGGACGAAAAGGCGGGCUCUAACAUAGUCUGCUGUUGACGUGAACCCAAGAAGCAGCACCGGCUAACUCCGUGCCAGCAGCCGCGGUAAUACGGAGGGUGCGAGCGUUAAUCGGAAUUACUGGGCGUAAAGGGCGCGUAGGCGGUUGGUUGCGUCUGCCGUGAAAGCCCCGGGCUCAACCUGGGAACUGCGGUGGAAACGGGCGAACUGGAGUAUGGGAGAGGGUAGUGGAAUUCCCGGUGUAGCGGUGAAAUGCGUAGAGAUCGGGAGGAACAUCGAUGGCGAAGGCAGCUACCUGGCCCAAUACUGACGCUGAGGCGCGAAAGCGUGGGGAGCAAACAG
rnacentral:rRNA from 1 species